UUUUGCUUCCGUUAUCUCCCUGGCAUGGAAUAGUGGCAGUGUGUUGAGUGCGUGCAAACUUUUGAUGUGCGUUAAGCAUUGAGCGUUGAGCAGUAAGCCUGCAGUGUUUAGAAAAACCUGUAAUUCUGUUUCUUUGGCCUGCGGAAGUGCAAUCGCAUCAGCAAGUAACGCUACAUCCAUGUAUGAUUGGUGGAUUGCUCACCAUUUGCGUUAAGAGCCAGUUGACUGGGCUGCGGAGAGCCCGUUGCUGUUUUGCUGCUGUCUGGCGACCCGUUUGUGCUACGGAGGGGCGACUUCACUUUCCUUCUCGGCACCUGAUUGUGUGUGACUCGGUUGCGUCAAGGCAGUGUGUGUGUGUGUAGGAUUGUGUGUGUGUGUGGGUGUGAGCGCGCCCUUAUUGUGCGAGGGUGCGCUAAAUUCUUUCGACGUUGGCGCGGUUGUGAGUGUGCGUGUAUGUGUGCAGUGUUGUGAUUUAACUAUUUGGUGGGUUUGUAUUUUGUUUGUGUAAAUUGCUAAGGGCUGUUAUUGUUCGACUUGCAUUUCAAUACUAACAGCAAGGAUUACCUUGUAUGGGGAGGGUUGUGUUAUUUUGGCUUUGUUUGUUAUGCGGGUGGUUUAUUUUGAGUGUGGGUUAGUUUCUCUUUAUUAAUGAGUGUUUUGUUUUGAAGGUUUCGUUGCACUGGAGUGUGGUAUUUUCCUCUUUUUCCUUUUGAUCUUUCCCAAUGGUAUAUCCUGUGUAAUAUUGAGUGUGAGAGCAGUGGCCACUGACAACCAUUAUACAAACCAUUGUAUUGUUUUGUGACUAAUUGUAAUUGACUAUCUGUUUUAUAUGAUUACAUUUUAAAGAAAAACUCUAUUUAAGUGUCUAAUAAAAGAUUGUUUGUACACAUCUCUGCUUUAUUUCCAUUUGUUUGGAGAAAACCUGAAGUUGUGGGUAGUAAAGUGAACCUCUAUUUGGUUAUAUUCAGUACAGUACGGGCCCCGGUCACAUAUAUAUAUACGUUUCAA